rnacentral:sRNA from 1 species
UAUUUUUCAUAAUAGGCUCUUAAUGCCAGUGAAAAAACAGUUGUGGAAGCGUUAUUUCAGAGGGAUUCACUUGUUCGACAAAGUCAGCUGGUGGUAGAUUGGUUAGAGAGUAUUGCCAAAGAUGAAAUUGGAGAAUUUUCUGAUAAUAUUGAGUUUUAUGCAAAAUCAGUAUAUUGGGAAAAUACUCUACAUACCUUAAAACAACGGCAGCUGACAUCUUACGUUGGAAGUGUUCGUCCGCUUGUCACUGAAUUGGUAAAUGUUCUUUGAAAUGAAAGUUGCCUUCAAAGUUAACUGAUUUUUUUUUUCAGGCUGAGAAUUUUUUCUCGUGGAUCUUUGUUUUGCUCUUCUAAAGGUUUGCACACACUAACAUUUUACUCUAAAACAACUAAGUUGCAUUGGAAUCUGAUGGAAUAUAUUGAAACAUAUCCGUGACCUUUGAAUUGUAAGUAAUAAGUUGUGGAAAGUAUACUUAACUUGACAGCAUUAAAAACAAAUUAAUUUUGGUCUUAUCUUAAGAUUUGACUGCCUAUAUAAGGUAGUGACUGACCUAUGAAAGCUCUUUUAUGUUGAAAGCAAGUGAAAAAAAACUAAAGCCUUAUUGGUUUGAGGUUAGAACGGUUAUUUGAAAAGUGGAUUUGAAAAGAACUGAAGCUGAAUUAUUCUAGAAACAAAGGAAUGAAGCUUUAUGACAGGUAGGGCACGUGAAAUGUUUAUAGUGAAAAGAGAGAAAUAAGUAACAAUUGAAAAAAACUUCUAGAAUUCCGUUUAGUAACAAAGAGGUUUUUGAUGAAAAUUGUUUGGGAAAAAGAAAAAGAAAAUUGUUUGG